ACAAGACUACCUUCACUUCCGGUUCAAUUACUUGAAGAUAUGAACCCAACGACGCUGGUUUUUGGAGAUAAUUUACUGCAAAAACUUCCAGAUGGUUUCUUCAAAGGACAAACAAGGCUAAUUACUCUACAAUUAGGAAACAAUCAGCUAAACUCACUUCAGGAAAACAGCUUUGAAGACUUAUUCAGCC